rnacentral:rRNA from 1 species
AUGGACCGAGAACACAAGGGCCUGCCGGCCCAUACGGCCUUACAGGCGGCCCAGCCCCACCGCCUGGAGUGGAUAAGGCAGGGGGAGACCUCGGGAGCAACCGCUCCUCCGAUCCCCGCUGCCGGCGGCCGUCUCAUCAGCGAGGAGCGGGAAAACCCGGCGAGUCGUCAUCUCCGCUGCAGGGAACCACGCCGGAGGGCCAGCCGAGGGCUGUUCCUCGGGCGCCGCCUGCGCGGAUGCGAGCCGAGGGCCGCGUCGCCGUCGCCGCUGCGGGGAGCCACGCCGGAGGGCGCCGCCGCGUUGCCCAGCCACAGUUCGGAAGACCAAGAGCGUGCUAGAGGGCGCGUGGCCUGGCGGCAGGGCGGCCGGCGUAGCGCGGCGCACGGCCGGGCGCGGGGCUCGGCAUGGCGGCCGGGAUUGGGGUGCGGCGUGGCGCGGUGCAGGCGCCACGGGCGGGGCGCGGCCACAGCCUGGAGCGGGAGUGGGCGGGCUUGA